AGCACUGAGCCUGCCAGGGCUGGGGCUGGGGAUCACCUUGGGAUGAUGGUGUCAGUCCCAGGGGGCAGGAGAUCGAGUGUCCUCUGAGCUGGCGACUGGGCUUGUAGAAGGGAACCGGCAUUUGUGGAGUGUCUAGUGAGUGCCAAGGUCUGCGCUGGGCACUGUCCUCGCACCGCCUCACCUAGUCCUCACGUAGCCCUCGGGCAAGUGAGGAUCCGCCGGGACCGCGGCUGGGAGGGAUGGCUGUGGCUGUCCCCCAGCCCACACAGUAGGCGCUCAGUGUCAGGGUGCAUAUUCCCGGGGACGCCCUCCAGGCCUGAGAGCUGGGGGCCGCCGCCGCCCCCCAUGCAUCCGCCCUAGCUCAGAGGCUCAGGUUGGGCUGUGAAGACCUUGCUGCAUAUGGGUUCACCUGAGCCACCAGGCACGGGCCAUGCUGAUGAUACCAGCUUUCAGCGCGUGGUGAGGUGUGUAUGGCUUCCCGUGGACUCAGCCUCUUCCCCGAGUCCUGUCCAGAUUUCUGCUGUGGUACCUGUUAUGACCAAUACUGCUGCUCUGACGUGCUGAA
rnacentral:sRNA from 1 species